rfam:Joostella marina DSM 19592 genomic scaffold Joomascaffold_1, whole genome shotgun sequence.
GUAAGCCGUGUGAGGGAAAACUUCAUGCACGGUUUGAUGCAGGGGGUACUGCUAUCCGAAAUUUAUUAACUUAGCAAUUAAUUCGGGUAGCAGGCUCUACUCUAC